CUUGGUCAUUUAGAGGAAGUAAAAGUCGUAACAAGGUUUCCGUAGGUGAACCUGCGGAAGGAUCAUUACGUAUUUUAGGCCGGUCUGACCGGUUCUAUUCAACCCUGUUUUUUGCGUACUAUUUGUUUCCUUGGUAGGCUUGCCUGCCAAUAGGACAUUUCAACUCUUAUAUUAGCAAUCAGCGUCAAAAAUAAUACAAUCGUAACAACUUUCAACAACGGAUCUCUUGGUUCUGGCAUCGAUGAAGAACGCAGCGAAAUGCGAUAAGUAGUGUGAAUUGCAGAAUUCCGUGAAUCAUCGAAUCUUUGAACGCACAUUGCGCCUAUUGGUAUUCCAAUAGGCAUGCCUGUUCGAGCGUCAUUUAAACCUUCAAGCUCUGCUUGGUGUUGGGCACUGUUCGUCUUGCGAACUUGCCUUGAAUAAAUUGGCAGCCUGCAAUUGGGUGUUGGAGCGCAGUACAUUUUGCGUUCUUGGCCAUAAUAGCCGGCAACCAGAAAGCUUAUCUUAACGUUUGACCUCGGAUCAGGUAGGGAUACCCGCUGAACUUAAGCAUAUCAAUAAGCGGAGGA
rnacentral:rRNA from 1 species